UCUCUAAAAUUAAGUAAAUAAUGUCUUUUUUAAAAAAAUGAAAUAAAUACUCGAGGGACAUUCUUUUAACUGAACAAGGAAGUACUCUGCCCGCACGGCUGCUUGCCGCCAUCUUGUGGCCAUUGGAGGAACUGCAUGCGGUGGAAGGUAGAAAUGGAAGGCCACUGCAUCUUCACGCCCACUGGUGUUGCUAGAAUGAAAUGGCACACAAGAAAACCCAUAUUUUCUGGACUCCCCCUGCAGUGAGAUGAGGGUCAUGUGACUGGAAUGGGGGUGAAAGUAAAAUGUAUCUCUUUUAGGCCUGAUCACGAAAUCAAUCACCUGGAUGAUCAUUUUCUUCCCUGGAGAUCAUGAAGAGCACGUGAUGAUGGCAGUAUCUCAAGAUAAAAGUCACAUCUUGGAAGAGCUCUGUUAAAAGAGCCUCCCAACCUGCCUCAAAUUGUGACAUAGGUUAAGAAAUAAACUUUUUCUUUUUGCUUUAUGAGUUUA